GACGAACGCUGGCGGCGUGCUUAACACAUGCAAGUCGAACGAUGAUGCUGGAGCUUGCUCCAGUUGAUUAGUGGCGAACGGGUGAGUAACACGUGAGCAAUCUGCCCUUGACUCUGGGAUAACUGCGGGAAACUGUAGCUAAUACCGGAUACUUUCACCGGAAGGCAUCUUCUGGUGAUGAAAGAAUUUCGGUCAGGGAUGAGCUCGCGGCCUAUCAGCUUGUUGGUGAGGUAACGGCUCACCAAGGCGACGACGGGUAGCCGGCCUGAGAGGGUGACCGGCCACACUGGGACUGAGACACGGCCCAGACUCCUACGGGAGGCAGCAGUGGGGAAUAUUGCACAAUGGGCGCAAGCCUGAUGCAGCAACGCCGCGUGAGGGAUGAAGGCCUUCGGGUUGUAAACCUCUUUUAGCAGGGAAGAAGCGAAAGUGACGGUACCUGCAGAAAAAGCACCGGCUAACUAUGUGCCAGCAGCCGCGGUAA
rnacentral:rRNA from 1 species